GACGUAGGGUGCGAGCGUUAAUCGGAAUUACUGGGCGUAAAGCGUGCGCAGGCGGUUUUGUAAGCCAGAUGUGAAAUCCCCGGGCUUAACCUGGGAAUGGCAUUUGGGACUGCAAGGCUUGAGUGCGGCAGAGGAGACUGGAAUUCCUGGUGUAGCAGUGAAAUGCGUAGAUAUCAGGAGGAACACCGAUGGCGAAGGCAAUCCCCUGGGCCUGCACUGACGCUCAUGCACGAAAGCGUGGGGAGCAAACAGG
rnacentral:rRNA from 1 species